AUUGAACGCUGGCGGCAGGCCUAACACAUGCAAGUCGAACGAGUGGCGGACGGGUGAGUAAUGUCUGGGAAACUGCCUGCUGGAGGGGGAUCCCUACUGGAACCGGUAGCUAAUACCGCAUACCAUCGGAUUUGCCCAGAUGGGAUUAGCUAGUCGGUGGGGUAAAGGCGCACCUAGGCCACGAUCCCUAGCUGGUCUGAGAGGAUGACCAUCCACACUGGAACUGAGAAACGGUCCAGACUCCUACGGGAGGCAGCAGGGGGGAAUAUUGGACAAGGGGCGCAAGCCUGAUGCAGCCAUGCCGCGUGUAUGAAGAAGGCCGGCGGGUUGUAAAGUACUGUCAGCGGGGAGGCGUUAGCCGCAGAAGAAGCACCGGCUAACUACGGGACAGCAGCCGCGGUAAUAC
rnacentral:rRNA from 1 species